CCAACAAUCUACAGCUGUCUGUGUAAAGAUGAUCUUGAAUGGUGUGGUGGCAGUGGUUGUGUACACAGACAUUCACUCACCAGGUUUUCCAGGGAGGCCUAACUAUACGUGUAGCUGGAAUGGGAAGACCUAGCUGCAAUAGCUGGCAUUUUUCAUGAAACCUUGGGUCAGUACUGACUGAGUGAAGAGAAGCCAGUGGAAUGCAUCUGGUUUGGCAUUGGUCGUCGUGCAUUCCUCAGUGGUCUGGAGACCAUGACCUUGACAUUCAUAUUUGGUGGCAUAUUUGGGCUAAUAUCAAUGAAUGAAAUGUUGAUGUACGGGUUGAUAGGAAGAAACGGAAGAGAGAAUGGGUUACCUCUUCCGUUUGCAGAAGGAGCACCUUUGCAAAGAGAUGGAUGCACAGCCUGGUACCUGUGCUGAAAGGUGUGUGUGUUAGGAUGCACAGCCUUGGACCUGUGCUGAAAGGUGUGUGUUAGGAUGCAGAGCCUUGUACCUGUGCUGAAAGGUGUGUGUGUGUGAGGACUGAAGUUGUAGCUUCAGGCCAUAGUGGAUCCCUAGGAAACCGUUUGGUGUGAUCUCGCCCCACUGGUCUAACCUGUUGCUCAGGCUCAUGGCUCAAAAGAGGAUCUUCUCUGACUUUGAUCUCCAAGGUCUAAAGCCUGACAACAUCUUACAUAUAAACUCCUUUUGUUCUUAUUAUUGUAGUAUCAUUUUUCACGCCAUAUUUGCACUAAAGAUGAAGUCUUCUGUCCAGGCUGGCUUUGCGCUCCCUAGAUUCUGGUAGUUUCUGCUCCUCACUCAGUGCCCCGGUGACCCGGUGUUUUGGUUGUUUUAAGGCGUGGACUGUCAGUUGGGGAUCAUGUCUGUACAGUGACUUAAAUGUUAGACUGACUAGCUGUUGGCCUGUGAGCUAAAUGACUUCAUACUCCCUACCCCAAGCAGAUUGGGGGGCAGUGUAUUAUUACAUUUGUACACCCUUACCACCUCUUCCUUCACAGAAGUAAAAACAAAGCUUAGCCAAGAUGGAGGAGGCUG
ensembl:lncRNA